rnacentral:rRNA from 1 species
CCAUACCGCACUCACGUUGGAACGACCGAGUGCACCAAACGCUCCGGCGCUGCAGGAUGUGGCUGCGGCCGAUUAGGUAGACGGUGGGGUAACGGCCCACCGUGCCGAUAAUCGGUACGGGUUGUGAGAGCAAGAGCCCGGAGACGGAAUCUGAGACAAGAUUCCGGGCCCUACGGGGCGCAGCAGGCGCGAAACCUUUACACUGCACGACAGUGCGAUAAGGGGACCCCAAGUGCGAGGGCAUACAGUCCUCGCUUUUGUGUACCGUAAGGUGGUACACGAAUAAGAGCUGGGCAAGACCGGUGCCAGCCGCCGCGGUAAUACCGGCAGCUCGAGUGAUGACCGAUUUUAUUGGGCCUAAAGCGUCCGUAGCUGGCCGCGUAGGUUCGUCGGGAAAUCCAUCCGCUCAACGGAUGGGCGUCCGGCGAAAACCACGUGGCUUGGGACCGGAAGGCUCGAGGGGUACGUCCGGGGUAGGAGUGAAAUCCCGUAAUCCUGGACGGACCGCCGAUGGCGAAAGCACCUCGAGAAGACGGAUCCGACAGUGAGGGACGAAAGCUGGGGUCUCGAACCGGAUUAGAUACCCGGGUAGUCCCAGCCGUAAACAAUGCCAAUUAGGUGUGGCACCGACUACGAGUCGGUGCUGUGCCGUAGGGAAGCCGAUAAAUUGGCCGCCUGGGAAGUACGUCCGCAAGGAUGAAACUUAAAGGAAUUGGCGGGGGAGCACUACAACCGGAGGAGCCUGCGGUUUAAUUGGACUCAACGCCGGACAUCUCACCAGCAUCGACUGUAGCAAUGAUCAUCAGGUUGAUGACCUCUAUGUUGAGCUACAGAGAGGAGGUGCAUGGCCGCCGUCAGCUCGUACCGUGAGGCGUCCUGUUAAGUCAGGCAACGAGCGAGACCCGCACUCUUAAUUGCCAGCAUCGCGUUCGCGCGGAUGGGUACAUUAGGAGGACUGCCGCUGCUAAAGCGGAGGAAGGAACGGGCAACGGUAGGUCAGUAUGCCCCGAAUGUGCUGGGCUACACGCGGGCUACAAUGGCCGAGACAAUGGGUUCCUACCUCGAAAGAGGAUGGUAAUCUCAGAAACUCGGUCGUAGUUCGGAUUGAGGGUUGAAACUCACCCUCAUGAAGCUGGAUUCGGUAGUA